UUUAACGAAUAGCAAUAAAAUUUUUUUUUCAAACUGAUAAUUUUUUUUUUUUUAAUUGUAAUUAUUUUAUUUUAAUGUGUGGCUAGAUACUUAAACUUGUCAACAAAAACCAGCUUAAUAAAACAUAGGAAAGUUGUUUGAAACAAUUUUACAUUUCUUUAAACUGGAUUUUAAUGAAUAGUGAAACGAAUAGCAAAUAGUAUAUUUCACUAGUCAGCGGACUAAAGAACUUUAGUCUAAAAUUUUAUAUACUUUUUAUCAUUUCCACUUGACUGUUUUUAAUCAAUACAUAACUUUACAAAAGCACAUAAGAAAUGAUUAUGUAAUGGAGGUAUGCGAUUCAAAUCCAAAUGGUCUCAUUUCGAUGUCAUUUUAUGUAUACCAGAAUCUCAAGAUAAUCAAUGAGCUAAAUGGAAAUAGUUCAUAAGAUUUUUCUGAAGAAUCUGACUUUUCAAGUGACGAUUCUGUACAUAAUAACGAAUCUUCUCAGAAAUCAUCUAUUGUGAAGCCCAUUAAAGAAAUUCAUCAGUUAAAUUAAAAAUAAGUUGAUACGCACAACGGAAAUGCCAUGUAAAACUUUGAAAUGGAAAAUUAUAUGUAGUAUUGUUUCAACACAAAGUGGCUAAAAAUUAGAUAUUUUAA